AACUUGAGAGUUUGAUCCUGGCUCAGAACGAACGCUGGCGGCAGGCUUAACACAUGCAAGUCGAGCGCGUAGCAAUACGAGCGGCAGACGGGUGAGUAACGCGUGGGAAUCUACCCAUCUCUACGGAACAACUCCGGGAAACUGGAGCUAAUACCGUAUACGUCCUUUUGGAGAAAGAUUUAUCGGAGAUGGAUGAGCCCGCGUUGGAUUAGCUAGUUGGUGGGGUAAUGGCCUACCAAGGCGACGAUCCAUAGCUGGUCUGAGAGGAUGAUCAGCCACACUGGGACUGAGACACGGCCCAGACUCCUACGGGAGGCAGCAGUGGGGAAUAUUGGACAAUGGGCGAAAGCCUGAUCCAGCCAUGCCGCGUGAGUGAUGAAGGCCCUAGGGUUGUAAAGCUC
rnacentral:rRNA from 1 species